rnacentral:rRNA from 1 species
UGUUCACCAUGGCAUGUUUGUGAAUGUAAAGUCCACUGGAAUGUGGCAGCGCUUCUGC